UUGUAGUGAAAUAUUUGAGGCACGUAGUUCCUUUGAAAAUGCAGUUUGGAUUUUCUCUUUUAAGAUCUGUCAAUACCAGAUUGUUACCUCAAGUCACUAGUUAUUGAUUGUAACUGUGAGGAGUGUAUUUUCUUUAAAUGAAACCUCUACAAAUAAACGUUAAGAAAAGCAUUUACUUUCUGAAGCCAGUGUAGAGGCCUGGUUAAGUCUCUUCAUUCAAUUUAAAUUUAUUUUAAAAGGCUAUAUUACAGUGCAGAUGUCUCAUAGUCUGCAUACAUUAUCUUAUUUGUAAAGCUGAAGAUUGGGGAUGUAUUUUGUCACCUGUUGCCUACACAGGACAAAAGGGGUGUGGAAGAAGAUUUACUGAUCACGCAAGCUUUUGCAGGGAACUUAUUCAUCAUUUCAUUACUGGUUGGUAAAAUCCAGCCACUUUUUUCCCUCUGCUUUUAGGUGCCCCAGAAAAUCAUACAAUGUGUGUGCUUCAGACAGUGCCGGAGAAGCAUAAUGAGGUGUUUAGUCACAGUUUGGAUGUGGUAUUUGUAGAAAACAGUGCAGGAACUGUGGGCUGGAUUUCCAAGGAAAUAGUCCUUGUAAUCCAAGGCUGCCUAAAUCCCAAACUGGUAUCCAGGCAAUAGCGGCACUAAAUUCUCUGUUUGCUUUUUGUUAGGCGCUUGUCUGCUGAACAUUCUCCUUUUCUUGCAAGGACUGCAGCAUGGCUGGGCAUUUUGAUGUGGUGGGAUUUGUUGGUUCGGUUUAGGGUUUUGUUUUGUUUCUUCUCUUAACCCUUGGAUUUCUGCAGAGCAUCUCCGUAAAUAAGAAUUCAGACAGUCUGGAUGCCUGACUUGGAAAGUAUUUAAUGGUCAGUGGAAAAAAAUGAGGAAGAGGAGGGUGUGGCUGCAGCUGGGAGGCUCUGGCCCUGCAAAGGGUCCCUGGCUUGUAGAGAUGUGGUCCUGCAUCGGCACACAACGAAGACUUCUUACAGGAAAUGUAUGUUGAUCUUCUGAAGCUGAAUCCUCAGGCAUUUGUGGUCCGCCCUUGCAGCCUGGUCCAGCUCUGGCCCUUGAAAGGGCAUCUCUCACUGCGGAGCUGCUGCAGCACCUGAGGUCUGAGCCCAUGGAUUCAGCAUGGAGAGCCCUCAUCUCCAGCAGCCAGGUGGAACAGACUGCUGGGAAAAGGCACUUCAGUAUGUGACAGCGAGAUUCACCACUGCCCCUUCCACCACUGCAUAUCAGCCUGGAUGUAGUCACCCUAUCAGGAGUGUAAAUUUUGCAGGAGAAAUUAUUUUAACACUGGAAAAGAUCUUACUCAUCUGAACCAUCAUUCAAAAUGCACGAUGAAAUUCACCAAGCAGAAGUUUUCCAUCCCAUUGUCUGCAGGACUCCUGCAGAUCUUCUGAAUCGUAAGCAUGUCUGUCUCGAGCUGCCCUAAGAAGAAGAAGCAAUAAUGUGGUGAAAUGAACUCAGAGCACACAAAGAGGAGCCACUGGAGACUAAUCUGCAAGGUACUCAGAUUCUGCUACCCAACUGCUUCUGGGACUUCAUGCAGUUUGCCUCAUCUGAGAGAACCUCAGAUAAGUUAUAUGGAAAAUUGAUAGUAAAUCCCAGAGUACCAGGUUUUGCUGCACAUAAUUCAGAUGUCACACAUGGGACCACUGAAUGAUGGUGUUGCUGUUGAGCAAAAAUUGGAAGGAAACUGUGAGAGUCAAUAGAUGGAGAAAAUGGUCCUGCCCAUCAUUACAGGAAACCAUAACCCUCACCUCUGUGGGACAGGAGUGACCAGCAAUGACCAGCUUCACUGCCUUAGGAACAUCCCCAUUAGAUGUAUUUUUCAGAUAAGUGUCACUGAUAACAUGCAAAUCAGAAUCUGUUAACCAUUGGCUGUUGCAGAUAUGACAUCAAAGCCACCAAGGGAGACUUGAUGUAGUAUGACUUAAAACCAGAUGUAUUUUGAAACAGAAAGAAUGACUUACUGAGGAACCAAGUUAGAAAUGAAAGAAGUGAAGACUGGUCAUCUGUGCAGAGGAAAUUACAAGAAAAAACUAUUGAUACGUCUUCCUGACAGGUCUUUCUGAGAAGCAACAGCUGCAGAAUGUGGAAUCAGUUGUCUGAAAUUCCUGUUGGCGAGGCCUUUGACCUUCAACUUCUGCUGCGUGAUCAAAGAGAGAACUUUUGCAGAUCCCCACAUUAGUGAUGCUGAAAGCCAGGGCAGAUGGCUUCCAUCCCCCUGUCCCCCUGCAGUGUGACCAACUGCCCUCAGGGUGAGAUUUGCCGUGGGAAACAACUCUCCUUGAUCUAUGUGGGGCUGAUGGAUGCAGCAUUUAUUGUGUUCUUUAAUUAGCUAGCAGAAGGUUAGUUCGCUGAUUAAGGUAGGGUGUUGGUUUUAAAUGUUUGCUUAUUUAUAAAAGCAGUGUUUAUAUUAGAAUAUAGACUGAUAUCUCAGUUAUUCCCCCAUUCUUUAGAUCUGCCCUGAAUGGGAAGUGUUGUUAUCUAUCAAACCUGGUGACAGCAAAUAACAACCUCCUCAAGUAUAAGUUUGAGGCUACAGAAGCUGAUGCUGUAGUGGCAGUUCUGCUAAUCCCCCUAACCAAGGUCUGUGUGGUACAGUGGGGUAUGUUCAGUUUGGUCAUCAGUCCAGAGCUGGGUUACUGGUCAGUUAGGAGUAUUGUUGAGUAGGCCACAGUUCCUCACAGUCUUGACAAAUUCAUUGCUCAGUCUUUGGAGUUUACCUAUCAGAACUUGGGAAAUUCAUUUAGAGAACCUCAGCUCUUCCCUGUUGGGAUAAGGGAGGAGUAUCUGGAAGCAUGUUAAACAAUCUCUCUAAUUCAGCAUCCAUUCUAAGUCAUAGCGAUGCCUUUUCCGAAGUGACAAACUGGUUUGAUAAAUUACAGUCAUGUAGGAGCUGGAAGUACACAAGUGCAGUUAUUAAAAAUGAAUGCUGUAUCCUGUUUCCUUUGUGUAUCUUGUCACUGACAUGACUUCACAAGUUGCAAAUCUAUUAAACAUUUCAAACGUGGAACUGGAGCUCAUUAAGCAGAAUGUUGACUGGUAUAUAGCAAACUGUUUCAAAUUCAAGACUGUCAACAUUUGUCUCCAGAGUUUUUUGUCUUCUAGGUUGUCACCAAGCAAUUAAGCUGUCUGGGAAUACAGCCUGUGCUUCCU